rnacentral:rRNA from 1 species
CGCGUGAGUAACCUGCCUUGGAGUGGGGAAUAACACAUCGAAAGAUGUGCUAAUACCGCAUAAUGCAGUUGGGCCGCAUGGCUCUGACUGCCAAAGAUUUAUCGCUCUGAGAUGGACUCGCGUCUGAUUAGCUGGUUGGCGGGGUAACGGCCCACCAAGGCGACGAUCAGUAGCCGGACUGAGAGGUUGACCGGCCACAUUGGGACUGAGACACGGCCCAAACUCCUACGGGAGGCAGCAG